GACGAACGCUGGCGGCGUGCCUAAUACAUGCAAGUAGAACGCAGUUGCGAACGGGUGAGUAACGCGUAGGUAACUGCCUCAUAGCGGGGGAUAACUAUUGGAAACGAUAGCUAAUACCGCAUACUGGGAGCUGGAUCUGAGUUGUAUUAGCUAGUUGGUGAGGUAAAGGCUCACCAAGGCGACGAUACAUAGCCGAACUGAGAGGGUGGUCGGCCACACUGGGACUGUGACACGGGCCAGACUCCUUCGGGAGGCAGCAGUAGGGAAUCUUCGUCAAUUGACGGAAGUCUGACCGAGCAACGCCGCGUGAGUGAAGAAGGUUUUCGGAUCGUAAAGCUCUUUUGUUAGAGAAGCGGUAACUAAAGAGAAAGGGACGGCUAACUACGUGCCAGCAGCCGCGGUAAUUC
rnacentral:rRNA from 1 species